UACGUAGGGUGCAAGCGUUAAUCGGAAUUACUGGGCGUAAAGGGUGCGCAGGCGGUUCUGUAAGUCAGAUGUGAAAUCCCCGGGCUUAACCUGGGAAUUGCGUUUGAAACUACAGAGCUGGAGUGUGGCAGAGGGGGGUGGAAUUCCAUGUGUAGCAGUGAAAUGCGUAGAUAUGCGGAGGAACACCGAUGGCGAAGGCAAUCCCCUGGGCCUGCACUGACGCUCAUGCACGAAAGCGUGGGGAGCAAACAGG
rnacentral:rRNA from 1 species